rnacentral:rRNA from 1 species
ACGAGUGGCGAACGGCUGAUAACGCGUAGGAAUCUGCCCUAAAGUGGGGGAGAGCUCCUGGAAACGGGAGGUAAUACCGCAUGUGCCUUGCUUGCAAUGUAAAGGAUUUAUUCGCUUUAGGAUGAGCCUGCGUCCUAUCAGGUAGUUGGUGAGGUAACUGCUCACCAAGCCUAUGACGGGUAGCUGGCCUCAUGAGGGUGGUCAGCCAGAGGGGGACUGAGACACGGCCCCCACUCCUACGGGAGGCAGCAAUCAGGAAUAGUCGGCAAUGGAGGAAACUCUGACCGCGCAAUGCCGUGUGUAGGAUGACGCUUUAACGAGUGUAAACUACUGUGGAAUAGGAUGAAGGCGUAAGCUUGACAGUACUAUUCUAGAAAGGGGCCGCUAACUGCGUGCCAGAAGCGUCGGUAAUACGUGGGCCCCAAGCGUUAUCCGGUGUUACUGGGCGUAAAGUGUCGCGUAGGCGGCUUGGCAAGUCACCUUUUAAAUUCCAAUGCUCAACAUUGGAACUGGGGGUGAUACUGCCUUGCUAGAGUUACCUAUAGGGUGAAUAGAACUGUGGGAGGAGUAGUGAAAUGCGUUGAUCCCCACGGGAAUACCAGAGGCGAAGGCGAUUCACUGAUAGGUAUCUGACGCUGAGGCACGAAAGCUAGGGGAGCGAAGCAGAUUAGAGACCUGCGU